AGCAGUAGCCGCGGUAAUACGGAGGGGGCUAGCGUUGUUCGGAACUACUGGGCGUAAAGCGCACGUAGGCGGCUUUGUAAGUUAGAGGUGAAAGCCUGGGGCUCAACUCCAGAAUUGCCUUUAAGACUGCAUCGCUUGAACGUCGGAGAGGUGAGUGGAAUUCCGAGUGUAGAGGUGAAAUUCGUAGAUAUUCGGAAGAACACCAGUGGCGAAGGCGGCUCACUGGACGACUGUUGACGCUGAGGUGCGCAGGCGUGGGGAGCAAACAGGAUUAGAGACCCCGGUAGUCCCUGUCUCUUAUAA
rnacentral:rRNA from 1 species